GGAGGGGAAGCCUGAGGGAACACUCUGCCAUGGCCUGUUCCUGGGAGAGGCUGAGGCUCCCGGGAGUGCCUGGAGGGUCCAUCCUGGGAGCAGGACAGCAAGGAUUGUCCAUGAGGGGCCAGGGUGGUGCUAGGACAGCUUGGGCUAUGCCUGGGAGCUGGGACCUGUCACUGGUGCCAUGUGUGGAGGAGCCCCUCAGCCAGGUGAGGCCAGGACUCACCACGUUCCCAUUCCCAGCGGAACAGGCUCUCCGUGAGGCGGGAUGCUGGAGGACACACCGGGGCCCACUCGACCGACACUCUGAGGAGCAUUUCAAGUGCUUUUCCUAAAGCUGAAUUCUCUAUAAAGGAGAAGUGACUAGAAACCCUGAACUGAGUCCCAGGUCUCGCUUAACUUUGUAAGGCACAGUGACACACUGAGGCUGCUCCACUUAAGGUAUGGUAUGAACCAGGAGCUGUGGAAUGAGUGUUCACAUGGAGUCAUCCUGCCUGUGGAAUGAGUGUUCACAUGGAGUCAUCCUGCUGCAGCUAUUCCCGAGCCGGCAGCUGCUGUGUAAGCAGAGCCUAAGAGACAAUCCUUGCCCCAGUGACUGUGUGGCAAAUAAGACAGACAAUGGGCACAAGGAAGGCCCCUGGCUAUCAGGGAAGGAUGGAUACUGCUCAACCAGCUGGGAACAAAGAAACCUGGGCUGCUCCAGGCCCUGCAGGACUGUCCCAGAGUGUCCUUCCCUGCCUGCUGGUUCCAGGAACGUGACACUUUGGGAACUGUUUGUGUCAGGACUCCUUGCUUUGACACCUUUGAUUUCUGAGACUGCCUCAUUUCAGAGCUCCUCUCCACAAGGAUUUCCCCAUCCAGCAGCUCUCAUGUCUUCACUGGAUACUGAAAUGAGAUGGAAGGGCUUGAAUGUUUCCUUGGCAAGAUGGGUGGAUGGAAUUAGUUUAAUUUGUUCUGAUUCUGGUUCUACCAAGUCAACUGGACCAAAUCACCUCCUCUGCUAACAGGCUGCAGAGCAACAGUCUCCUGGAAUAUUCUUUGUGCUGAAAACAGGAAGAUCUGGAACAAGGGUUUGUAACUUUUUUGGAUGAGUUUCUAUGUUACGAUUUUUACCUUUAAUAUCACCACUUUAAAUAAGAAUAUUUAUUUGUUGAAAUAAACACUUUUUUUGCCCUGAAAUACUGGAAUAUGCCUCCACAGCUUCUUCCUACCUCAGCUCUGCCGCUGUGAAGAGAACCCACUUGUGGAUUUCAAAGUCAGAAGGACGAGCUGGAACCUCUAACAGAGGAUGUGCACAGAGCAAUUCCUGCAGCUCCUCCUGCAGCCAGGGCCCUGAUGAGUGGAUCUUUUUCUUACCUGCUCUAGGAACUCCUGUAUAAAUGUCUGACAAGCUCUUCCAGGGCUUUAUAACUUUGUGUCUCGUUCCUUAAGGCAAGCUGCAAGUUGCCUGCUUAUCCCAUUCCAUCUUGUACAGCCUCUGCGGAUGGAACCCUUCCUGUGUGUGACUGCACGUGGUGAAGAGGAGAGCACGGGGGUUUGGGGCUAUUUUUAUCUGAUGUGUUCCCAAAGCAGCUCUCCCAGUUGCUACACUGCCUGUCAGAGUGGAGGGCUGGUGCAGCAGAGGUCUGUAGGGACACUUGGUACGUGGCCAGGGGAUCACAUGCAGGAUUCCUUGUGCACAUCCUGCAGUGGGAUCCAGCCCUGCUAGUCCCUCUUUAACACUUCAGGACAUUCUCAGCAGACCCGUGAAUCCAUUUCUCAGUGCCCAGGUUAGGCCACCAAGACUUCAAGAGCAAAUCUGACUGGUUUUAGUUUUCUUUCUUUUUAAGAUUCAGCAUCACUGAGGACCUCCAAUUUAGCUUGAAAAAUAAAAUACCUAAAAUAAAGGUGUUUGAAAAGUACAUGCAGGUAAUCAUGGGUUUUUUUCAAACUCAGCCUCAGGUGAUGCCAUCAGCUUCUACUGCAGUUAAGCACUGCCCCAGACUUCCUUGAAGUUGCCAUCCCCAGUCUGUGCUAAGCAGUAUGAACAUUAAAAUAGGCCCUGCUGAAAUAAAAUGCCCUGGUACUUGUAUGAACACACUGUUUCCUGAAAAACAGGUAACAGCAGAUGAACUACACCUGAGCCACCAUUUGAGCUGCUUUUCACAUCUUUGGAAGGUGCAGGGCAUCCAGAUCAGUACUAGGGUUACCACAGCCCACAGAGAACAGACCCGAGGCAGCAAAGAGCAAAGAGUGCAGGGUGAGAUCCCAACAGGGAAAAGAAAAAAAAAGUUAAAUUUCUCUUCAGGUACAAGCAAUUCUGUUCAUGCCUUGCAGGCUGCAAGGAGGCUCCCACUGCAGGGGACACUUGCUGAACUGCCCUGCACCAUUAUCAGCUGCUGUCAGGGCACAGCUCCUGUCCAGAGCAGUUUAAUGUGGUACAUUCAAUCAAACAGAAAUUGUAUGCCAGCCACAUACAUACAUGGAAUAAAACAAGUGCAGGAAAUACAUUUUUCAGGCAAAUUUGUUGAUUUCUUUUUCUGAAGCCCUGUGGUACUUUGCUGUAGUUUCAGAUAAAUAGCUGCUUCAGUGAGGAAAUAUUUUUAUUUAGGCAAACUUUUAUCAUAAUUUAUACCUUUGGUUUUCAGCAAGACUGAAGAAAUCCAAGCUCUCAAGGAACCUCUAGCUGUAACAGGUCCUUAUUGGGCUUUGUCUUUUUAAUUAGCCACGUUUAACUAAGAGAACAUUUGCGGGCGUUGGUGGAAAAGAAACUGGACCUUCUCCAGUGGGAUGGCUGGGCCAGCCUUCACACGAGCUGGACCCUGUUCUGGUGCCCAGUUUGUAUUGCCUGGCCUUCAAAGGUUGAUAUUUGGCACUUUUUAAAGAGGAAAACCAAAACAACCCCCCAGCAAGGUGAGGAGACUUCCCUGCACCACAAACUCAUCAGCUGAUGUAGGACAGUGUGACUGUGCCUUUCUCUGCAACAUCAAGCUCAAAAACUUUGUUAUGUCAUUGGAGCAGGAUUUGUCUCUUAACCUGGAAGGCUGGCAGUCAGAAAGUCCUCUCUUUACUGAGGCUGAUGCUGCUUUAGAUGCAGCUUAAGGGAAAAAA